AUUGAACGCUGGCGGCAUGCCUUACACAUGCAAGUCGAACGGCAGCACGGGAGCAAUCCUGGUGGCGAGUGGCGAACGGGUGAGUAAUAUAUCGGAACGUGCCCAGUCGUGGGGGAUAACGUAGCGAAAGCUACGCUAAUACCGCAUACGAUCUAUGGAUGAAAGCGGGGGAUCGCAAGACCUCGCGCGAUUGGAGCGGCCGAUAUCAGAUUAGGUAGUUGGUGAGGUAAAGGCUCACCAAGCCGACGAUCUGUAGCUGGUCUGAGAGGACGACCAGCCACACUGGGACUGAGACACGGCCCAGACUCCUACGGGAGGCAGCAGUGGGGGAAUUUUUGGGACAAUGGGCGCAAGCCUGAUCCAGCAAUGCCGCGU
rnacentral:rRNA from 1 species